AUGUGACUACUAAACUUCGUACAAACUGGGAAGCGCUUUUUUUUAGUCACAACCAAGUAAUCAUUGGACAAUGGGAUAAAGAUGCGUUGUCUGCAAAGAAAAUCACAGUGCACAUGGACUUGUCAGUGAAAGUUUACCUUAAUGACACAUUAAUCUUGCUGCCCGGAAUUAGGGAUAUUAACUCAUUUGAAGAUGUUUUUAAUAACUUAAUAUUGGUGGAAAGCGUCAAAGGGUGUCCAGGGAUGAAUAUCUGAAUCUUGCUUUGGUUAUUUUAACUCCAAAUCGAAAAGUGAAAGAUGUCUUUCAUGUAGGCUGCAACGUAGGAAAGUGUUAGAUCGUGAAGCUGCGAAAAAG